UCCAGACCUCCACCACAAUUUGAUGCAGGACGAUACUCCGACGCCUCCUACGCUUUCACGAAUGACUACUAUCAAGAGGCCGGUGCUUUCUUCACUUGUACCGACAACACCCUCCUCGACAUCCAGAACACGCAAGCAGAACAUGGAAGACUCCUGGAAGAACAACAAAAAUGGAACCAGGACCAUGCCGCUGCAGUACUAGAGCUGAGACAAGAUACAACAACAAUGAACAACAACAUCACAACCAUGAUGCGGUUCUGGAACAUCGGGUAAGACCGACGUCAACAUCCAGCUUGCAGGAGUUCCUCCCUAAAUUUAUCAAGUAAGUUUUUAUUUGCUCUUCUUAUUUAUUCUUUUCUAUUCUAGUAUUUAAUUUAUCUUAAAAGGAAAAACUAAGAAAACCAAAUAAAUAUUUUCUUGCUUUAAUUCACUACACUUUAAUAAACAUGAAAACAAAAUAAAAAGAGUGUGUAGAUAAGUGUGCUUUAUUUUUCUGCUAAGUUUAAUCUCUAAAAAAAAUAAAAAGACCAAAAAGAUGCAUGAUGGAAAUGAUGAACAGUUGCUCUGCUUGCUUACUUACAAGUACCUAGCUUUUAUAUUAGAAUUCUUCCAGGAAUUACUAAAACUAAAAUUACUAUCUUUGGGAAGCAUAAAACUAAAGUCUAGGUAAGAGAAAGGCAUGAUAUAAAGUUGAGCUACUGUUUAUCUUGUUCCUACUACACUAAGUUCUGGAGAUUUAUUUUGAAAACUUACAAAUCACAUGAUGAGUUCCUAGCAUUGCAAACCACCUACCACAGCCAUACUUGCCAUAACAUCUUUUACUAUAUUCACAUUGAGUUUGAUCGAGCUGUGUAGACCCUUAGGAGUUUUUCAUGUGGUUAAAUUAAGAUAUUCACUUGCACACAUCUACCACAGCAUUCAUCACCAAUCAUUAAAAUUGCUAAAAAUAUUUUCACUCACUGUCCCAAAUAUUGUUAUUCUCUCUCUCAAAAGAUUCAAUGCAGAAGAGGCAUGGGUUAUGCAAAAAUAUGCGAGGAAAUAAAAAGGGGCAAGUGCCCGGAACCUCGAAAAAGAAAGAAAAAGAGUGAGACGAGAGGUAAAAAUGGACAAGUGUCCGAAGUAGAAUUAGGGGUACAAAAAUGCCCACUCGAGAGGAAAAAAAUGGACAAGUGUCCGACAGUAGAAUUAGGGGUAUCUACUACCCACCUGAAAAAAAAGAAGAGAAAAAAGGUAGCCCAUGUUCUCCCAAAGCAAAGAUUAAAGAAGAGGAGAGAUAGCAAUAUGAGGAGCAAUGAGAACCAAAUUUUAUUAACACUUAUGCAUUCUCACCAUCAUUAUCAUUUACUCCACCACACAUGCACAUCUUGAUUUAAUUAUAUGCUGAGUUCCUUUGGAUCCAUGGCUCGAUUAGACAACAUAUGUAUGAGCUGUUUUCCACUCCUAUGAGCUCCACUUAAAUAUUCUAUUAGCU
rnacentral:lncRNA from 1 species